UGGUGAGGGUCCCUACCUGGGACCCCUGGUCAAAGUAAAAGGUCAGCACAUCUGGUAGUUUGAGAGGAUACCACAUAUGUUUGUUUGGUGAGAUGUGAGUGGAUCGAAAUGAACGAAAGGGUGCAUAUUGUUUCAUUCUUAUUUUCCCUUUCUCUCUCAUAUGUACCACACACACACACACACACUCUAUCUCUCUCUACUCAAGACACAAACAUGUAAAACAUUCCACUCAAAAUCUUUUUGGAUCAAACCAGGGAAAACAUGAAGAACGUGAGAUGAACACUUGAGUGUUCUUCUCUUCCAUUUUCCAGGAUCCUAAAUUUAUGCUCAAACCAAAAAAACAUAAAUAAUAAAUCCCAUAUAAAUCAUCUCAUGGUCACGGUUAUGUCAUCCAAACAACCAAAUAACUCACGAAUGGAACAUAUCGACCUUCCCCCCAAGUAGAAAACCUUAACCCUUUUUCUUUAAUUUUCAUCUGAUUACAACAAUGGUACAAUAAUUGGAAGGCAAAAAAUGAAACAAACAUACAAGAAAUAUAAAGCAAGAAUGAAAGAAGUAGAGAAAAUGACAAAAAAAAGAAACCUCGUUGGGAUCUGGAUUUACCAGACCUUCGACGAGCACUUCGGCCAGGCCAGAUUUACCUUCUGGAUGCAGGUGAAUUAGAGGUCAAGCUUGAGUUUCUGCAGAGGUUUGGUAGGUAAUUGAAGGUGUGGGAGUUUUAUGCCAAGUUCUCUUAGGGAUUUUUUUCAUGUCUAUUUAAGAGGGAAUGAAAAUAUGAUUUUAUAGGAAUAUUUGGGAUUCGUGUGAGGUGAUUUUAGGAGGGAAUAAUGGAUGGGCAUGAGUGUGUGAGCGAAGAGUGAGUAAAGUGUGAAGGCAGUGUGAACUUCGUGACUUUAGGAUGAGCAAGAGUGAGAGUCUUUGAUGUAUGUAUGUAGCAAGGACAUGGAUGUAUGGAGGUGAAGGAAGAUGGUGCAUAUUUUAUGUAAUGCUACUUGUAAUUCACAUGUACUAUAACAUUGUAUUUACAUUUUUAAUUUAAUAAAAUCGAAUUUUCUUAAA